rfam:Felis catus isolate Cinnamon breed Abyssinian chromosome B3, whole genome shotgun sequence.
GCCUGGGUGGCUCAGUUGGUUAAGUGUCUGACUUCAGCUCAGGUCGUGAUUUCAUGGUUCGUGGGUUCGAGCCCUGCGUCAGGCU